GGCAAAUGACGUAUAGGGAUCGACAGAGACCGACCUCCAUUGAUGCAAGUAGACAUCAGUGGCCCGUGGCUCGGCAUAGACUGCCGGCUGGGGCUCCGACUCGCACGAUACGAAAGCAGGCAUGGAAUGGCGAUCGCCCAAGGCCUUGUCGACCGCUCUCGUGCCGGCGUCGACGAGCAUGCCGACGGCCUUGUAGGCAAAGACGACGGCGCCUCCCAAGAGGAUCACGGCAAUGAGAAAGAGCGCGAUCUUGAGCACGACAAAGCCCGCGGAUUCGCCGGUCCCGAUCGUGAUCGUCCUUUCGACGUGCGCGCGAUCGGGUUGGGAGGUGCACACGAUCACGUCAUCGGCGGGCGUCUGACAUUCCAUCGUUUUUUUUGUCGUCGAGCGGCAGUCGCGGGCGGCUUUGCUAUCGGCACGCGCCCAAUUUGCUUGUUGGCGACCUGGAAAAAGGCGCACGCACGGUCGACCGCCAAAGAGGUAGGCAGAAUGCUUCUUGGAGGGCGCGCUCGCCGCUCGGAAAAAAAAGUCGGUCUCGAUUCGCCGCCCUGUGGAGCGCCGCACGCAAUGACGUCAUUCCACAUUUAUCUCACCGCCAAAUGUGCGGUCGCUGAUCCGAGCCUCUGCAAGCCGGCAAAUACAGACCGAGAGAGAAGCGCAAUCUCCUUCCCCUGUUUUUUUGGGGGCGACACCCAUGCUGCCGAGUGUUCUUUUGAAUAAAAAGGGAAAAUGUAAAAAAAA
rnacentral:lncRNA from 1 species